rnacentral:rRNA from 1 species
UACGUAGGGGGCAAGCGUUAUCCGGAUUUACUGGGUGUAAAGGGAGCGUAGACGGCACGGCAAGCCAGAUGUGAAAGCCCGGGGCUCAACCCCGGGACUGCAUUUGGAACUGCUGAGCUGGAGUGUCGGAGAGGCAAGUGGAAUUCCUAGUGUAGCGGUGAAAUGCGUAGAUAUUAGGAGGAACACCAGUGGCGAAGGCGGCUUGCUGGACGAUGACUGACGUUGAGGCUCGAAAGCGUGGGGAGCAAACAGG